rnacentral:rRNA from 1 species
CGGCGGACGGGUGAGUAACGCGUGGGUAACCUGCCUCAUACAGGGGGAUAACAGUUGGAAACGGCUGCUAAUACCGCAUAAGCGCACAGUACCGCAUGGUACCGUGUGAAAAACUCCGGUGGUAUGAGAUGGACCCGCGUCUGAUUAGCUAGUUGGUGGGGUAACGGCCUACCAAGGCGACGAUCAGUAGCCGACCUGAGAGGGUGACCGGCCACAUUGGGACUGAGACACAGCCCAA